rnacentral:rRNA from 1 species
GUUAGGAAUAUUGGACAAUGGGCGCAAGCCUGAUCCAGCCAUGCCGCGUGAGUGAUGAAGGCCUUCGGGUUGUAAAGCUCUUUAGUCCACGAAUAUAAUGACUGUAGUGGAAGAAGAAGCCCCGGCUAACUCCGUGCCAGCAGCCGCGGUAAUACGGAGGGGGCUAGCGUUGUUCGGAAUUACUGGGCGUAAAGCGCAAGUAGGCGGAUCGGCAAGUUGGGGUUGAAAUCCCAGGGCUCAACCCUGGUACUGCCUUCAAAACUAGCGGUCUGGAGUCCGAGAGAGGAGAGUGGAAUUCCGAGUGUAGAGGUGAAAUUCGUAGAUAGACGGAGGAACACCAGUGGCGAAGUCGGCUCACUGGCUCGGUACUGACGCUGAGGUGCGAAAGCGUGGGGAGCAAACAGGAUUAGAAACCCGGGUAGUCC